GCUCCAGACAAACAUAAUAUCACACCACUCCUAUCAGCAGUCUAUGAGGGCCAUGUUUCCUGUGUGAAAUUGCUUCUGUCAAAGGGUGCUGAUAAGACUGUGAAAGGCCCAGAUGGACUAACUGCCUUUGAAGCCACUGACAACCAGGCAAUCAAAACUCUUCUUCAGUGACGGAUGGACUGAUAUCUUAUAUGUCUCUCCUGUGGCCUCACACUGCUGCCUGUCUGUCACUCUUUGCAUCUUCCAGCUUCUUCAGCUAAAUACUUCGGGGGGAGGGAAAUUCUUUAUGAAUCAGACUAGUUAGGGGCUUGUGUCAAAGAUAAUCUGGAGAGGGUUGAAAACUAUUAUGAACAGUCUCCCUCUAGGACUUCUUUUCAGUGCACAAUCUCUUCCCAUUUCUAGUGAAAAUGGAAGAAGGAAGACAGACCAUGAUCUUGAAUUUUUGGCUUGGAAACCUCCUAGGUUAGUACUAAGAUUUUUGUUGAAAGAUUCCUUUAGAUGGAAGUACUGUGCUAUGUACCUGAAACUAAUUGUGAAGGAGACAAUAGUCCAAUGCUAUUAGUAUCUGCCAUAAUCUGAAGUGUAGUAAUGUAGGUGGCUGAGUUGCUUUUCUCUCUUUUCUCUCAGUGGGUAGCUUUAUUCUUCUUCUGCCUAAAGCUUACAUUGCAGUUUUGAGGACUUUUGAUACUAGUUAUUGGAGCUGUUCUUUAUAUUGAGUAAUUGGAUAUCACACUAAUGUUUUUCUGACUCUUGAGUAAACCAGGAAAGAUCAGUUGAGGCAUGGUGACAUUACACUCCAGAAUAUCUGCCAAGGUACUUUUGGAUGCUUGAAUUUGAGGUUUUUCUUUCCCAUGUUUGUUCUAGUCCAGGACAGACAUUUUAAGCAACUGGUUUUGAGAGAGUUCAAAAUGUCACUGUAGUUAUUUCCAAAAGGAUUGUAAGAUGGAAUUUCUUUACUCACCAUGUCAGCAUAAAAUUUCUAGACACACGCAAAAGCUACAGGCUGUUUGGUAUGCAAGGAUAAUCAAGUCAAAUGUGGAAAACGAACAGUAAUUAUUUAGACAUUCAUAUCAGGUGAAUAUUGUUGCUAAACUCUUCUGGUAAACUUUUAAAAUACAUGUAAGCUUUCUAAGUUCAGGUGUUAGGACCAGGAAGAUGUACAAGUAAAAGUCUUAACUUGCUCUAGCUACUGGAGGGGGAAAAAAAAAAACUUUUAAUUGUGCAUAUCUUUGAAUUGGUGUUUCAUUGUUGGCUGAAUGAACCUCUUAAAUUUUGUUGACGCAUGGGACUUAUUCUGAAAGUUCCCGGUGCAACCAUACCACAUUAACCAUUGACUUUUAGAUAAGAUUUACUAUACCAGUAAGUGUGACAGUACUAUGACAGCCUUGAUAAUUUGUGGGAAGGAAUUUAAUGAUGAUGUAGGGAUUCCUGUCACAUCUUAUGGUCCUCAGGAAUGUCUGAGCUUUUGGCUUUCAUCUUGAAAAUUUUCAUUAGACUGCUGGUUCACCCAAAACUGAACAGGUUUUAUAACAGAAAAGUGUAUACUGCAGACUAUACAUCUUCCUCUUUUUUGGAAUACAGAUUUCAAACUUUCUGAUAACAUACACAAUACAGAAAACAAAUGUAUAUAAUGUCUCAUGCUGAAUUCUUCAACAAAAGUAGCUGAUAUUAUUUUGGUGUCACUGUUGAAAUUGAGAGGAUAUGUAGAAGUAGGCUCGUGACUACCACUCAUAUUUAACGGAGACUUAGUUUUACUUGAAUCAUGUUGCAUGUUAUGAUUGAAUGUCUCAGCUAUAAAAGGCCUUGCAUUUAGACUGUAAAAUGAGGGCAGAAACACAUUUACCUGUACACAUCCUGUAAGAAAAGCGAUAGAGAAAACAAUCAACUCUGGCCAUAAACUGUACAGUGCAAUUACUCUUUGCUUCUUGGAGUUGGGUGGCAAGGAAGAGCAGAAGGGUUGGAAAUCAGUGAUAAAUCAAUUGGUGAGCUGCUGAUGAAAGAGGUAUGUUUGAUGAACAGUGCUUUUAAUGACUAUUUAAAGAGAACUCUUUUAUCUCUGAUCAGUGCUGGAUUGUCAUGUCAUUGUAAUAGUGUGAACACAGACUAUAGGUUUAACUCUUUAUUCAGCUAUGAAAGUAACCAUCUUUGGCAUAAAUCUGCCUCCAUAUUAUGCUAUUAAAUACUUAGAUAUUAAAAUACUAGUCUAGAGAACUGCAAUCUGUUUUUAUGUGGAAAACUUGAUUAUUCAAGUAUUUUGUGUUGAUUAGUGUCAAGUUGGCCAUAGUUGUGUUUUGGGGUUUUUUUUCCUCUGUAUUCUUUCCUGCCCUGCCCCUCAACUCUCAUUUAAGUGAGCAUUAUUGUAGUAAAGAAACAUCAUCUUUGUACUAACUCUUCUGGUGAUUCACUGAGGCAAUUUUGCCUCCCUUUUUCUACAAUUACGUGGACACCUUAUUUUUUCUUACUUCACUUGAGGCGGGGGGGGUGGGUGGGGUGGUGGAAUGUAAACAAACUUCAGUGAGACAAGUGUCAAUUUGGCUGUAAUAUAUACCCAAGAUGCCUUUCGAGAUAGUUAAAAGAUGGCAUUUAAUGUUUGGCUCAUAAAGAAGAAAUACUUUUUUGCUUUUUGUACUACAUAAGAGGUGACUGAUCAUUUUGCCCAGGAUUUAAAAAAAAAAAAAGUCAUAAUAAAAGCUUAAGCUUUUGUAAUUGUCUAGAAACUGGGCUAGUGCAUUUGUACCCUUCUUGUUAGCUAUAUUGUGGAAAAAAAAUAAUGGGUGGCUGCCUCUAUCUUUGAGUAGGUCCUAACUAGGUGAAAAUACCAAACUGUAACUUAUUUUACAUUCUGUAAACAGAAUUUACAUACUUUGUCAGACUGGAAUCACAUAUACUUGGAAAUCCACUCUUCUUAAACCUUUUCCUUUUGAAAUUUGUGUUGAAUAAGUUAUAACCCUAAGUAUAUUUUGGAUUUUGUACCUUCUGCUUCUUUUUCUUGAGGGGGAGCAAAUGGGAAAAGGAGAAUGGCAGUUAAAUGGAGCUUUAUCCUUGAACACAACAUUGAAUUAUUUGUAGAAGAGGCUGGUAAGAAUGGAGUGUCCUAGGUCAAGCAAUUGCAGUGUUGCAUGCAAAAUUUCAAAAUGAACUUGUCUUAAUUAUAUUUUGUAAAUGGAUAAACAAUCAUCUUUCUACGCAGUGAUGGAAGAAAAUUAGUGCUCUGUGCAUUUUGAUAUUUGACUUCCUCUUUUCACCAUUGUUAACUGUUUUGACACAGUUGGGUUCAUCAUUAUCAUGGUUCAUAGACAUCAGAAUGCUAAAUGAUACUGUAUUUUUAAGUUUGUGUUGCAAGAAUGAAUGGAAUAAACUUGAAUUGUGCGAUAUGAGAA